rnacentral:rRNA from 1 species
UUAAGCGACUAAGCGUACACGGUGGAUGCCCUGGCAGUCAGAGGCGAUGAAGGACGUGCUAAUCUGCGAAAAGCGUCGGUAAGGUGAUAUGAACCGUUAUAACCGGCGAUGUCCGAAUGGGGAAACCCAGUGCAAUUCGUUGCACUAUCGUUAACUGAAUACAUAGGUUAACGAGGCGAACCGGGGGAACUGAAACAUCUAAGUACCCCGAGGAAAAGAAAUCAACCGAGAUUCCCCCAGUAGCGGCGAGCGAACGGGGAGCAGCCCAGAGUCUGAAUCAGCUUGUGUGUUAGUGGAACGGUCUGGAAAGUCCGACGGUACAGGGUGAUAGUCCCGUACACCAAAAUGCACAGGCUGUGAACUCGAAGAGUAGGGCGGGACACGUGGUAUCCUGUCUGAAUAUGGGGGGACCAUCCUCCAAGGCUAAAUACUCCUGACUGACCGAUAGUGAACCAGUACCGUGAGGGAAAGGCGAAAAGAACCCCGGCGAGGGGAGUGAAAAAGAACCUGAAACCGUGUACGUACAAGCAGUGGGAGCACCUUCGGGUGUGACUGCGUACCUUUUGUAUAAUGGGUCAGCGACUUAUAUUCUGUAGCAAGGUUAACCGUAUAGGGGAGCCGCAGGGAAACCGAGUCUUAACUGGGCGUUAAGUUGCAGGGUAUAGACCCGAAACCCGGUGAUCUAGCCAUGGGCAGGUUGAAGGUUGGGUAACACUAACUGGAGGACCGAACCGACUAAUGUUGAAAAAUUAGCGGAUGACUUGUGGCUGGGGGUGAAAGGCCAAUCAAACCGGGAGAUAGCUGGUUCUCCCCGAAAGCUAUUUAGGUAGCGCCUCGUGAACUCAUCUUCGGGGGUAGAGCACUGUUUCGGCUAGGGGGUCAUCCCGACUUACCAACCCGAUGCAAACUACGAAUACCGAAGAAUGUUAUCACGGGAGACACACGGCGGGUGCUAACGUCCGUCGUGAAGAGGGAAACAACCCAGACCGCCAGCUAAGGUCCCAAAGUCAUGGUUAAGUGGGAAACGAUGUGGGAAGGCACAGACAGCCAGGAUGUUGGCUUAGAAGCAGCCAUCAUUUAAAGAAAGCGUAAUAGCUCACUGGUCGAGUCGGCCUGCGCGGAAGAUGUAACGGGGCUAAACCAUGCACCGAAGCUGCGGCAGCGACACUAUGUGUUGUUGGGUAGGGGAGCGUUCUGUAAGCCUGCGAAGUUGUGCUGUGAGGCAUGCUGGAGGUAUCAGAAGUGCGAAUGCUGACAUAAGUAACGAUAAAGCGGGUGAAAAGCCCGCUCGCCGGAAGACCAAGGGUUCCUGUCCAACGUUAAUCGGGGCAGGGUGAGUCGACCCCUAAGGCGAGGCCGAAAGGCGUAGUCGAUGGGAAACAGGUUAAUAUUCCUGUACUUGGUGUUACUGCGAAGGGGGGACGGAGAAGGCUAUGUUAGCCGGGCGACGGUUGUCCCGGUUUAAGCAUGUAGGCUGAUUGUCCAGGCAAAUCCGGAUAAUCAAGGCUGAGGUGUGAUGACGAGGCACUACGGUGCUGAAGUAACAAAUGCCCUGCUUCCAGGAAAAGCCUCUAAGCAUCAGGUAACAUUAAAUCGUACCCCAAACCGACACAGGUGGUCAGGUAGAGAAUACCAAGGCGCUUGAGAGAACUCGGGUGAAGGAACUAGGCAAAAUGGUGCCGUAACUUCGGGAGAAGGCACGCUGGUGUGUAGGUGAAGUCCCUGCGGAUGGAGCUGAGACCAGUCGAAGAUACCAGCUGGCUGCAACUGUUUAUUAAAAACACAGCACUGUGCAAACACGAAAGUGGACGUAUACGGUGUGACGCCUGCCCGGUGCCGGAAGGUUAAUUGAUGGGGUUAUCCGUAAGGAGAAGCUCUUGAUCGAAGCCCCGGUAAACGGCGGCCGUAACUAUAACGGUCCUAAGGUAGCGAAAUUCCUUGUCGGGUAAGUUCCGACCUGCACGAAUGGCGUAAUGAUGGCCAGGCUGUCUCCACCCGAGACUCAGUGAAAUUGAACUCGCUGUGAAGAUGCAGUGUACCCGCGGCAAGACGGAAAGACCCCGUGAACCUUUACUAUAGCUUGACACUGAACAUUGAGCCUUGAUGUGUAGGAUAGGUGGGAGGCUUUGAAGCGUGGACGCCAGUCUGCGUGGAGCCAACCUUGAAAUACCACCCUUUAAUGUUUGAUGUUCUAACGUUGGCCCCUGACCGGGGUUGCGGACAGUGUCUGGUGGGUAGUUUGACUGGGGCGGUCUCCUCCCAAAGCGUAACGGAGGAGCACGAAGGUUAGCUAAUCCUGGUCGGACAUCAGGAGGUUAGUGCAAUGGCAUAAGCUAGCUUGACUGCGAGCGUGACGGCGCGAGCAGGUGCGAAAGCAGGUCAUAGUGAUCCGGUGGUUCUGAAUGGAAGGGCCAUCGCUCAACGGAUAAAAGGUACUCCGGGGAUAACAGGCUGAUACCGCCCAAGAGUUCAUAUCGACGGCGGUGUUUGGCACCUCGAUGUCGGCUCAUCACAUCCUGGGGCUGAAGUAGGUCCCAAGGGUAUGGCUGUUCGCCAUUUAAAGUGGUACGCGAGCUGGGUUUAGAACGUCGUGAGACAGUUCGGUCCCUAUCUGCCGUGGGCGCUGGAGAAUUGAGGGGGGCUGCUCCUAGUACGAGAGGACCGGAGUGGACGCAUCACUGGUGUUCGGGUUGUCAUGCCAAUGGCACUGCCCGGUAGCUAAAUGCGGAAGAGAUAAGUGCUGAAAGCAUCUAAGCACGAAACUUGCCCCGAGAUGAGUUCUCCCUGAGACUUUAAGUCUCCUGAAGGAACGUUAAAGACGAUGACGUUGAUAGGCCGGGUGUGUAAGCGCAGCGAUGCGUUGAGCUAACCGGUACUAAUGAACCGUGAGGCUUAACCUU